rnacentral:rRNA from 1 species
UACGGGGGAUGCAAGCGUUAUCCGGAUUUAUUGGGUUUAAAGGGUGCGUAGGCGGGUUAUCAAGUCAGCGGUAAAAUCGUGGAGCUCAACUCCAUCCAGCCGUUGAAACUGAUGAUCUUGAGUGGAAGAGAAGUAUGCGGAAUGCGUGGUGUAGCGGUGAAAUGCAUAGAUAUCACGCAGAACCCCGAUUGCGAAGGCAGCAUGCCGGCUUCCGACUGACGCUGAAGCACGAAAGCGUGGGGAUCGAACAGG